CUUCCAGGAAAAGUCUCUAAGCUUCAGUUACACAGGAAUCGUACCCGAAACCGACACAGGUGGUCAGGUCGAGUAGACCAAGGCGCUUGAGAGAACUCUGCUGAAGGAACUAGGCAAAAUGGUACCGUAACUUCGGGAGAAGGUACGCUGUUGUUGGUGAUGGAACUCGCUUCCUGAGCUGACGACAGCCGCAGAAACCAGGCCGCUGCAACUGUUUAUUAAAAACAUAGCACUCUGCAAACACGAAAGUGGACGUAUAGGGUGUGAUGCCUGCCCGGUGCUGGAAGGUUAAUUGAUGGGGUUAGCGUAAGCGAAGCUCUUGAUCGAAGCCCCAGUAAACGGCGGCCGUAACUAUAACGGUCCUAAGGUAGCGAAAUUCCUUGUCGGGUAAGUUCCGACCUGCACGAAUGGCAUAAUGAUGGCGGCGCUGUCUCCAGCAGAGGCUCAGUGAAAUCGAAAUCGCUGUGAAGAUGCAGUGUACCCGCGGCUAGACGGAAAGACCCCGUGAACCUUUACUGCAGCUUGACACUGAACUUUGACCUUACUUGUGUAGGAUAGGUGGGAGGCUUUGAAGCUGGAACGCUAGUUCCAGUGGAGCCGUCCUUGAAAUACCACCCUGGUAAUGUUGAGGUUCUAACUCUGUCCCGUGAUCCGGGACGAGGACCGUGUCUGGUGGGUAGUUUGACUGGGGCGGUCUCCUCCUAAAGAGUAACGGAGGAGUACGAAGGUGCGCUCAGCGUGGUCGGAAAUCACGCGUAGAGUAUAAAGGCAAAAGCGCGCUUAACUGCGAGACCCACAAGUCGAGCAGGUACGAAAGUAGGUCUUAGUGAUCCG
rnacentral:rRNA from 1 species